UACGGAGGAUCCGAGCGUUAUCCGGAUUUAUUGGGUUUAAAGGGUGCGCAGGCGGGAGAUUAAGUCGGCGGUGAAAUUUUGCAGCUCAACUGUAAAAGUGCCUUCGAAACUGGUUUCCUUGAGUGUAGAUGAAGUAGGCGGAAUUUGUGGUGUAGCGGUGAAAUGCAUAGAUAUCACGAGGAACUCCGAUUGCGCAGGCAGCUUACUAAACUACUACUGACGCUCAUGCACGAAGGCGUGGGGAUCAAACAGGAUUAGAUACCU
rnacentral:rRNA from 1 species